rnacentral:lncRNA from 1 species
ACACCGAAGUCCUAAUGGCGAUCAGACUCUUAAAAAAUGAUAAACGUUAUUUUCGCAACUAUUCCCUCGACAAAUAAGGCUAUAUUUUAGCAAAUUCCAAGCGUUCUUCUUCAUCUUCUGUCCAUAAAGUUUCACGCCUCUCUCUCACUCUCCAUCUAUCAUCGUCUAUCCUGUUCUUUUUUCUCUUAAACAUGUAAGAUUCUAACCUUUAGAAAGUAUUUUGCUAUUAUUUUAUGAAAUUCGCAAAAGUCUUGCCUAUUAUUUUGUAAAAAUAUACUUGUAUGAGUUUCAAGAUCUCAAGUCGUAUUUUUGAAUAAUACAUUCUACAAUGAAAAAAAAGUUCAACAAAACUUUCGAGGUUUAUCUAUCGAUUGUUAAACAAAUUAAAGAGUUAUUCUUGCUCUUGUAACACACAUCAUAAUAUUAAUUACCUCUGCUCUCUUGUAAAAAUGAGUUUGCUCUGAGGCUGCAGGUAGUUGACUUUAUAAAUUAGGCUUAUAAAUUUUGAAUAUAAUGAGUAUGACAAUUUCGAUGUUAUUCUGAUUAAUACUCUUGCUUGGUCUUCUUUUCUCUUUUAAAGUCAACUACUUUAUACGAUGAAAUGCAGCCUAUUUAUAGCAAUGUAUUUGCACCAGUUUUAAGAUGCAAGUUGCGACUUUCAGUAACUAUUAUAGCGCAAGUAUACUCGAUUGCAAUGUCUGCAUAAGCACAAUGGUAAGUAAAAUAAUGACAUCAAAUUGUUUUACAUAAGUUGGAACUUGUAGAAAGCUAAGUAUGCUUAAAGGUGAAUUUGAGUAUUUGUACUUCUGUAGUUCUUGGCCUUAGAGAAGUGCAUUAGGAGUGUACAUCAAAUUUUUAAUCUUCUAAUUUGGGUGAUGGAGGUUAAGGUAUUUGAUUCUUAGAACUACCUUUUUUUAAUUUGAAAAGGUUUUUAAGCAACUUAUCUAUCUAGUUCAAAAAAUAGAAAAUAAGUUCUUAAUCCAAGUUCGACAAUGAGAGUUUAGAAAUUUUUUUAGUGUAACAACCCGGCCGGUUAUUUUGAGAGUGUUAGCCUCGAGCCCCUAUUUAUUGCUCCCUCUACUUUAUUUUGUGGUUACGCGACUUGCCGGGAGGAUUUGUUUUUGGUUUCGGAGUCUAAUGGGACACAUAUUCCCUAAAAUGGAAGUUUAAGUCGUAGGAAUUGACCGUAAGUUGAAUUGUGUAAAGACGACUUCGAAAUGGAGUUUCAACGGUUCUAAUAGCUUCGUAGGGUGAUUUUUGUCUUAGGAGCGAGUUCGGAUGUUGAAUUGGAGGUCCGUAGGUCAUUUUAGCAUCAAUUGGCAAAAGCUGGAAAAUUGGAUGAUUUUUGAGAAGUUCGACCGGUUGUGAAAUUUUUUAUAUUGGGGUUGGAUUCCGAUUCCGGAAGUUGGAGUAGGUCCGUAAUAUUAAUUAUGACUUGUGUACAAAAGUUGAGAUCAAUCGGACUUGAUUUGAUAGGUUUCGGCAUCGGAUGUAGAAGUUUGAAGUUUUAAAGUUCAUUAAGCUUGAAUCGAUGCACAAUUCAUGUUUUUAGCAUUGUUUGAUGUAAUUUAAAGGCUCGACUAAGUUUGUAUGAUACUUUAGGACUUGUUGGUAUUUUUGGUUGAGGUCCCGGGGGCCUCGGUGUGAUUCAGAUCAUUUUUGGAUCAUUUUUUGGACUUAGAGGAAUAGUUGAUGCUGGGUUGUUUCUGGUGUCAUCGCACCUGCAGUGGGAUUGGUCGUAGGUACGGACUCGUAUAAGCAAGCUUCGAGUCGCAGGUGCGGAGUUGGCCUUGCCCUGCAGUGGUCGCAGAAGCGGAACAUUUUCCACAGAAGCGCAUUCGCUUCUGCGAUGGUAGGAGCGCAGAAGCGCUUUGGGUCACAGGUGCGAUCCUUGUACCGCAUAAGCGGUUCCGCAAAUGUGGGCCUUUGACCGCAGAAGCGAAAGUCCAGGACUUAAGUGUUUUGUGCACCUGCGAUAAUUUUCCGCAGGUGCGGCAUCGCAGAAGCGAUUCUUGGGCCGCAGAUGCGGUUUGACUACGCAGAAAAAGGGGGGAAACUAGGGUUUGAUCUCAUUUUUAUUUUGGGACUUAGAGAGCUCGGAUUGAGGCGAAAAUAUGAGGGAUUUUCAGAGAAAAUAUUUGGGUAAGGAUUUUACGCUCAUUUUUGAUUAAUAUCCAUUAAUCUAUCAUUAAUUUCUUCAUUUAAUUAAGGAUUUGGGUUGAGAAAUUGGAGGGAAAAGUGGAAGAUCCUUGGGCCGAUUUUUGAGAUUUUAAUCAAGGUAUCGGAUUUGUGUAAUUUUGGUAUGGGUGAACUCGAUAUCGAAUGGGUAUUCGUAUUUUUUGACCUUUACCCGAUUCCGAGAGGUGGGCCGGGGCCGACUGUUUGGGGAGAUUUUUUGAUUCUUUGCUAAAGUCAUAGUUUCAUUAUUUAAAUUUAUUUUUUGUAGUUGUAUUUAUAGUAUGUAAUUGCUUUUGGCUAGAUUUGGGUCGUUCGGAGUCGGAAAAAUUGAGGGAAAGGCAUUCUUAUCGAUUGAUUGAGUGAGAUUUGAGGUAAGUGACUUGUCUAACCUUGUGUGGGGGAAAUUCCCUUAGGAUUUGGUAUUGUUGUAAUAAUUUGUGAUAUGUGAGCGUCGUGUACGCGAGGUGACGAGUGCAUACACGGGCUAAUUGUGGAAAUUCCAGUUCUUGCUGAGUAGAUUUCUUUUGAAUUCCUUAACUGAGUUGCCUUAGCAUGUAUAGCUGUCAUGUUAGUCUAGUAUCGCAUGUCUACGUGUCUUAACCUUUACUUGAAAUUUGUGCAACAUGCUUAGUUGAAUUUCCUGUUUCCUUGCUUAUUGUAUUCGGUCUUUAACUAUAGGAUUCCUUGCUGUAAAUUUAUUGUUCCAUAAUUUAUGAGUUGCAUAUUUACUUUUGGGACUAUGAGGCGGUACCUCGGGAGAUCUCCCUAUUGUGCAUAUUUACUUUUGGGACUACGAAACAGUACCUCGGGAGAUCCCCAUGUUAUUCAUAUUUACUUUUGGGAUUACGAGGCGAUACCUCAGGAGAUCCCCCUAUUAUAUAUUUACUUUUGGGACUACGAGGCGGUACCUCGGGAGAUCCCCUUGUUGCGUAUUUACAUUUGGGACUACGAUGCGGUACCUCGAGAGCGCCCCUGUUGUUUAUCUCUAUUUGUUGUACUGUUAUUUUCAGAAAUUUCUCGUUUUUUAAAUUCUCGAUCAUUUCAAAAUAUUGUUAUAUCUUCUGCCUUACUUUUCUUUUAAACCAGUAGGGCCCUGACCUGAUCUCAUCACUACUCUACCGAGGUUAGGCUUGGCACUUACUGGGUACCGUUGUGGUGUACUCAUACUACACUUCUGCAUAUCGUUUUGUGCAGAUCCAGGUUCUUCCUAUCAGACCAGAUACCAGUGAGCUUGACCGUGCAUGGAGACUUCAAGGUAUAUCUGCCAGCGUCCACAGACCUCGGAGUCCCCCUCUAUCCUUACUAUGUUGUUUUCCCUUAUCCUCUUUAGACUUUGAUGUAUAGAGACACUUAGUAUUUUCUCUUAGAAGCUUGUGACUUAUUUCUACCGAGUUUUGGGAGUUGUAUCUAUUUUGAAUCGCAGUUUGAUUU